UACGAAGGGGCUAGCGUUGCUCGGAAUUACUGGGCGUAAAGCGCACGUAGGCGGCUUCUUAAGUCGGUGGUGAAAUCCUGGAGCUCAACUCCAGAACUGCCUUCGAUACUGGGAGCUCGAGUCCGGGAGAGGUGAGUGGAACGUGCGAGUGUAGAGGUGAAAUUCGUAGAUAUUCGACAAGAACACCAGUGGCGAAGGCGGCUCACUGGCCCGGUACUGACGCUGAGGUGCGAAAGCGUGGGGAGCAAACAGG
rnacentral:rRNA from 1 species